UUCCAAAUCAAGAGGCUUAUAGCUCUAAGCCUUGGAACCGUAGGCUUACGGCUCUGAGCUUUCAAAACUGGAG
rnacentral:pre_miRNA from 1 species